AAGCAAACAUUUCUUGAUUUCAUCUCUACCAACUUAUUUAGUUUUGAUCAUUUUAGUGCAGCCAGCAAUGGAUUGUGUAAAACUUGUACUAUUUUGUAUGCUAUAUCCCUUUCUCUGUCAACUUGCUUUCUCGUCAUCGUUACCUCAUUUGUGCCCCAAAGACCAAGCUCUUGCUCUUCUACAAUUCAAGCAAAUGUGUACCAUCAAUCCUAAUGCUUCUGGUGAUUCUAUUCAAUGUUACAAUCCAACAACUCUUUCAUGAAACAACAGCACAGAUUGUUGCUUAUGGAAUGGAGUUCAUUGUGACGAGAUGAAGGGACAAGUAAUUGAGCUUGAUCUCCUUUGCAGCGGACUUCAAGGCAAAUUCCAUUCCAACAGUAGCUUGUUUCAGCUCUCCAGUCUCAAACGGUUUGAUUUGUCUAAUAAUGACUUUUCCGGGUCUCUCAUUCCAACUAAAUUUGGUGAGUUAUCUAGCUUGACGAGUCUUUAUUUGGAGUAUUCAGGUCUUACAGGUGUAAUCCCAGCAGAAAUCUCUCACCUUUCUAAUUUCAAGUUCUUAGUAUAUUGACUAUUGAUCCGUAUGGGCUUAGACUUGGGCCUUACAAUUUUGAACCGCUCCUUGGAUGCAUCCCCAAAGGAAAAAAAUUCGAUACGCUUGAGAAGAGUUCGUACCAAGGGAAUGAUGGAUUACGUGGAUUUCCACUAAGUGAAGAUUGUGGUGGUGACGAUGGGGUACCACAAGCGAUAACUCCAGUUGAGCUGGAUGACGACGAAGAAGAAGAUUCGCCAAUGAUCAGUUGGCAAGCGUUUCUCAUGGGUUAUGGUUGUGGAUUUAUCAGUGUACUCUCCAUAAUAUACAUAAUGUAGUCAACACAAACUCCGGCAUGGUUUUCAAGGAUGGUUGACCAAUUGGAAUACAAAAUUAUUACGAGAAUGCAAAAGCACAAGAAGAGAUAUUAGUGUGAGACCUCCAGGUUCCGAGUCCACUGAGCAGAUGGAACACAAAUACAAGCUUGUAUUUUCAUAGUUUCUGAUUUUGCUACUGCCUUCUUUUACAUCUUUCUUUGACCUAAGAAUCUAUCGGAAACAACCUCCCUACCUUUAACAUAGGGGUAAAGUCUACGUACACACUAUCUUCCGCAAACCCCACUGUGGGAUUACAAUGGGUUUCAUGUCGUUGUUGUUAGUCUCUGAUGUUUCAUGAAGGUGUUUGUUCGCCUAUGAAUAAAGUCAUGAGUUUUCUUCCUUUGUGACUCGAACAAAUUUUAUUUUCAUUUGUGUACAGUAUGUAGAAAUAAAUUCAGCUUAAUUAUUACUUCAAUAUAUAUCCAAUGGCAUAUUCGACUGAUAAACAGAAAUUGGAAAAGAUAUUAGUGUGUAACUUGCAGGUAUUCAACUUAAUCUCUAGCCUUCAUAACAUUACGUUUCAUCCUUAAAGCUCUUAACAUUAAUCCUUCAUUUUUGGAAAUUGCAGGAUUCAAGUCUAAUAUGUCGCCGGUGAUGCAAAUAUAAGCCUUCAUCUUUCAUAGAUUGUGAUUUUUUCCAAAAGUGUUUGUUACUCUAUGAAUAAAGACAUCAAUUUUUUCUUUG